UUCACUCCGUAAUUAUUGGUAGUCCUCUGACAGGUCCCGCCCUGAUCCUUCUCCUAUUGGUUCUCCCAAGGAACGCUUCCCCUGAUUGGUGUAAGGUUUCUCCGACCCCAGUGCCCAGUACGGCAUUUACCCCACUGGCCCGCUGUCUUCUUGCGUUUUCAUUGGUCGUUAUUCGUGAAGAGCCCACCUUCGUGCGGCACUCAUUGACCUUCCCAGAGAGCGUUCCUUUUCAUUGGCUUAUGAUUUCACCUCAUGAGGUUAGAUGCUCCCUCCCUUAUUCCGGACCUUGUCAUAGGCUUAUCAUUUCAGAAGUCCCACCCUCUCUGCUUUUCCAUUGGUAGACUUUCACAGCGUUUCUUUACAUUGGCUACGGAUCUCGCCAUUCCCGGGCGCUUGCUCUCCCUCCUGCCUGCCAUCGCAGCUCGCGGAUUGGUCCCAGGGUGAGAUAAAGUCGCUGGGGAUUGGCGGGCGGAGCUAGGUCCCGGCGGAGGCUGACCAAGAAAGGUCAAGUGAUUUCUCCAGCUCGUGAGUAAAUGUCGGAGGCAGGAUUCGAAUGGCAGUCUCUGUAACUCUCAGAUCUCACCAUAUUUGGUGCGGAACGGCAAUCUUUAAUGAAUUAAAGACGUGGGUCUCCCAGACCCCAUGGAGAGGGUCACUGGGGACGAAUAGGUCAGAAGGCCUCGGGAUGGACGGCAGAGACGUGGGGUGAUCACAUCACAGAAUCACAGAAUGUUAGCGGGGACCUCGGCGGCUGUGAGCCCCGGGUGAAUCCUCGUUCUACCAGAUUAAGCUUCUGCCUGAAAGCUUUCACCCAACGGCGGUCCUCGACCCUUCCACUCUGGAAUGGGCGAUCAUCGUUCGCCUCGUUUACAACUUGCACCUAUUCUCCUCAUCUUCUCUCUGGUGACCAAUAAAGCACCUAGUCCUUCCCUACAUGCCAGAGGCUUGAAUGCAAGCGGCGUGUCCCAUCUCCCACAGCCCCCUUCCCUCAACCUCUUCCAGGAAAGAGGAACGAACAGACAGAAGGCUCCGUAGCCCAUUGCCACCCAUGCGAUACCAGGUGAUCUACUUGUGGGGAACCCCACUGUGAAGGAUUCAUGGGAGGGCCUGGAUGAGGUCCCAAAGGAUGAGAAGCAGGUCUCCAUUGCUGGAAUGAAGACCCAGUGGUGAGACCUGCCAAAGCACAGAUCGCCUUGAGACCUAAAAGACACUUCCAUCCGGACGAUUUCACAUAACCAAAAUUUCUCUCGAUAUUCCUUCCUCCCUGUUUCAGGGAACCAUUGAUAAAUAGAACCGACUUUUCCCGCCUCGAUUUGCCCUUUCCUCCGAACUUCCCUUCUGAAGGCACCACUGUCCUCCCCUCCGGCUCCCAGCUCUGGACACACUGUGGUCCUUCCCUUCCUCUCACCUCCAUUCUUGUUAACAAAGCCAAAUCGGCCACAGCUCUUUUUCUCUAUUCCCACGGCGGGCGCCUGAAUUGCUCCGGCUCCCGUUUCUCCUGCUCUUCUCCAGACUCUCCUCUCCAAACUGCUCCCCAAACAGCCACCAGCUCCCAGAACUCUCAGCAAUCCAAGCCCUGGCAUAAAACGCGCACCCCUGCCCGCCAGCAUCACCCCUCCCACGAUGGCCAUCCCAGCCAAGCUAACCCCAGGAGUCGGGACCGAGCGAGACAUCGCACCCUAAGCUGCUCCCCAUGGCAGAAAUGCCCCUCUCUUUCACCCAGUCGUCGGCGUCUUUCUUAAAAUGUCCAGUAUUGCUUAUUUUUUUCCUAUUACACGUAGAUACUUUAACAUCCA